AUUUAGAUAGUUUAAUAAAAAUAUUAGUUUGUGGUACUAAAGAAGUAUAUUUAUACUCUAAAUA
rnacentral:tRNA from 3 species